CGCAUCUGUGCAUGCAGCAUAUCAAUAAGCGGAGGAAAAGAAACUAACAAGGAUUCCCUUAGUAACGGCGAGUGAAGCGGGAAGAGCUCAAAUUUGAAAUCUUCAAGGUUUUACCUUGACGAAUUGUAGUUUAAAGAAGUGUUUUCUGUUGAAGUUUUGGUAAAAGUUCUUUGGAAUAGGACAUCAUAGAGGGUGAGAAUCCCGUAUUUGACCAUUAUUUUCAGCUGUGUGAUACACUUUCAAAGAGUCGGAUUGUUUGGGAAUGCAGUCCAAAAUGGGUGGUAAAUUUCAUCUAAAGCUAAAUAUUGGCGAGAGACCGAUAGCGAACAAGUACCGUGAGGGAAAGAUGAAAAGAACUUUGAAAAGAGAGUUAAACAGUACGUGAAAUUGUCAAAAGGGAAGCGUUUGACACCAGUGUUGUUUUCUCGAAAAUCAAUUAAAAAGAGUUUGAUUUUGUUGUGUAUUGACCUUACAGCUUGCAUUUCAAUUUUCUUGCUUUUUUUAAUGCACUUUUCGUUUAACAAGUCAACAUCAGUUUCUUUUGUUGUAAAAAGGUCAUUGGAAGGUGGCUUUCUUUUCGGGAGAGAGUGUUUAUAGCCUUUGACUCCUGCAAUCGGAGAGACUGAGGUCUGCAGCGUAGAUCCUUCGGGGUUAGAUACAUUUGUGCUAAGUUAUAGCUUUUUAUAGACAACUUGUUGACUAUGAUUAGUCUUGUAGCUUACUCGCUUAUGCUAUUUUACCUACGCUUAGGAUGUUGACACACGCGCGUGCUCG
rnacentral:rRNA from 1 species